CGACAUCUCUGCACUCUGGAGCAGAGACACCAUGAUGGACGGAGGCUAGACUCUUCCCGGGUCGUGGAAACAUUGGACAGUCAAUGGACCUGGACUUCACAGAGUGCAUCCUAAUUUGUGAAGAAAGGGGAGUGAGGGAAGACUGGUAGGAUCCAUUCUGACCUUGUGCUCAAUAUUCAGUUCUCUUACCCCUAUAUUCCAUAUCAAGUGUUCAUGAAGUAUCUGGGGGAACUAUCCCCUUAAAUAACAUCCUUUCUUAUAGCUUGGUCUUGAAAAACCCUUAUUUUCAAGAGUGGUGGGAGAAAUCCCCCAGUCAAUAAUUUAGGCCAACAGAUGCAAUCAGCAAGAGGUGUCUUAUUGAUUGAUUACACCAGGAGCCUAUGGAUGCUGCAGCAACUAAGUUACAAUUAAGUUACUGAGCAUGCCAGGCUGAUGGCACAUCAUGUAUUUAUAAGGAUUUAGGAGUUACAUAAGAGGCUUGCUUGUCUAGCAACAGCAUUUCAUUGGUUCUCAAAUUAGCGGGCUUAGCUCACCCUGGUGACGGCCCUGUGUCUAUUCCCGAAUUUCCCCGAAAAAGCAUAAAGCUAGAUAAAACACCCUCUAGCAGGUUGACAAUUUAGAUAGGAUGUCUUGGAGGGGGUGGAGUAGUCCCAAAAAACACAAAGCUAGAUAGUGCACUCUGCAGCAAGUUUGACAAUUUAGAUAAACUGCCUUAGGGGCUGGAGGAUUCCCUCUUCUUAGCCUAGUCAGUGAGUCUGACUAUAGAUAUCUAGUUUUAGCAUCGGCUGAGCUGAGGGGCCCAGCUAAAUUUCAGCAAAGUUUAACAUAGUACAUGGGUAUGGGGUUCUUUCAAGUAUGGGGGUCUUUCAGUCUAAAUAUGCAAAGGCAACACUAUCUUUGAAAAUAUCCAUUUCCUUAGUUUUCUCUUAAGGCUACAUUUUUAACUUAGAAAGAAACUUCCUAUCAAUAAUAGGCCAGGCUCAGGUUUCCAGAUGGAGUAGAGAAAGGAGUGUUAAAGCAACAAACAUAUUUAUUUUAACUAAGGACUGUCAAGUUGGGAGUGUAGGCUCCAGCCCCUUGCAUGUAUCCCAGACCCAGGCUUGGUCUGGACUCCAAAUCUCAGCAUGCCAGGUCCUGACCUCGUCCUGGGGAUGGGAUCAGGACCACUCCCCAGGGUAUUUAAGUGAUCUCCCAAAAGAAGAGCACGUGGUCUCCCUUUUUUCCUCCCAGGGGUCCAUUCCUGCCCCCUAAGGAGCCAAAUCUCCUAUUAAACCUGGAUAUUUCUUAAUUUGGCUUGUUUUGAUUUGGCUUGGUUGGGAAUUUUUGUGUUGGCAGGGAGCUCAUGUUAGGAAAUAUUCCUAACACGAACUUUAGUAACAAACUAGCAUGACCCCAAACAUUACAUGUUUACAAAGCAAUCUGAGCAAGUCAUCACUCAAGGCUAAAGCAAAGUUCUCCCACCAUGCAAUUGUCCCUGCUAUCAGACAUCACAAAGGUCAAGCAAAUAGGUUCCUACCCCUUCCUUUCACAAAGUGCUAAGUCGUUGUGAAACCUGAUCACAGAAGGACUCACCCUCAGCUUCACUGCUCACUAUGCCAGCAAGGGAAAAUAACCAGCUACCUCAUUCUUGAUUUUGAAGCAAAGAUUGCUCAAGGAAAGUGACUUAGUAUUAAAUGUUUAGCAGGGCAAAUGAAAAUGUUAUAUGCUAAUAGAUAUGGCCAUGGGCAUAAACUGUCCACAUUACAUUAAGCAGAAAAGAUCCUCUGCAGUUGUUACUGAACCAUUCCCAGAAGUAUUACUUAUUUUCUCACGCUGUGAUAGCACCCCUGACAAAAGCACCUGGAGACAAAAGGGUUUCUCUUGACUCCAGCUUCCUUCCCAUUCAGGAAGUAGUGUGAUGAAUGCUGCUUCUCUGCCCCUUCCUCCUUUAUUCCCUCUUCCAAAUAGCACCUUCAUUGCCUUCCUACAGAACCUGUACACAGAAUUAAAGAAACCAGCAUUUUUUUUUUAUGUUCUAUAAGAUCUGGACUGACUUUCAUGACUUAGAGUCCAAGUAAUUCACAUACAUAGUUCAGUUAUUUCAUCUUACUUUAUCCAGUCUUCUUUAUCUUUAUCAAUGUUUUUUUAUUGUUUGAAGAUAAAGCAAUCCUGAAAUAUUCAGGAAUUAAAAUAACCUAGCUGAAUCGUAUGUGUUUUCUACAUUUCAGGGUGGUUCAUUUCCAAUUAUUUCUAAGAAAUUUGAGAAAAAUAAAAUAUAUUGGUUUUUUCUUAAAGUUUAUUUUCCAUUCUAAAUGAUAUUCCUCUUGCCAAAUAUAUCACAGUUACACAUCUUUCAAAUGAGAAUGUGAAGUAGAAAGAUACACAGUGACUACUAGAAACAAAAAUAGGGAUUCUAACUGUGUUGUUUGUGUGAUGCUUACUACUUAUAACAUACAUGUGGCUCAUGUUUUUGUUACACACAAAAAAGCAAUUUAACUAAGGAAAAGUCUUUGUAGAAAUAAAAUACAAAAACAACAUAAUGAAAAUAAAAAAUAGCAUGAAGAAUAUUUACAUAAAAAUAGGAGAUGUGCAAAUUUCUCUAGCAUAUUCACAACCAGAUCUCUAGCCACGGGUUUCAUGGUUAUGGAUUCUAGCUCCCUCAGAUAUAAAGUAUGUUUGAAAAUAAUUACAUUUGGGUCUGGGCAGAUGACUUAAUCAGGAAAACACCUAUAGCACAAGCAUGAGGUCCCAAUCCCCUAUCCUGAGCACACAGCAGAAAGGCCAUACACAUUACUGCAAGCUUGUUGUCCCAGCAUGGGAGACACAGAGAGGAACAGUCCCAAGAUAUUUUAGCAGCCAAUAUAACCAAUCAAUGUGCUCAUAUUUAAUGAGAGGCUCUGCUUAAAUAACAAGCUAGAUAGUGAUUGAGAAAGAAACUCAACGUUGACUUCUGGCAUAUGUACACGUGGACACACACACAAAUAGCCCUAACAUAACUAUGUCCAUAUCAAACAUAAAUGAAUUUAUUCCUGCUUUUCUAUUUCUUUAUCAAUGCAGUACAAGAAUAAUUUUAUAUAGGAAAUGGUAAAUCAUUGGUGUAAAUAGAUCAAGAAGACAUUAGUAAAUGGACAGAUACUCUGGUCUCUUAAACAACCAAAGGUUUUAUAAAAUUUCUCCAAAAAUAAAAGCAUUUUAAGUAUCAUUUAUCAAAACUCUGAAGGCAUUUUUCUUAUAAAAUAUAAAGUCAUCCUUAAAUUCUUAUGGAACCAUGAGUGAUACUUCACUUCGUAUGUAUGGGACUUCAGAAAGUAUGUAUAGGGGUGAAGACCCUCCAGUGAGGGGAGACUCUCACUCAAUUCUCAGGAUAACACAACCCCACCCCCCACCCCGCAGUAACUCACGACAGACCGUCCUUGUUGCAAUCACAAGAGGUUUAUUCGACAAGACAGGAACCAAUACACUGGAGCCAAGACUCAUAACCCAUGCAGGGGAGGAGUUCAACCCCAAGUAACUGGGAGAAGGGGUAUUUAAAAGAAGAAACCACAGCCCAGUAAUCCAAAGGGGGAAGGGAGGGCAUCAUAAAAACUUCCAAAAAUACCAGUGAUGCUCACAAGGGGGCAACUCCCUGUUUCUCAAGAUUAUAAUCAGCUAGUUCCUGAAACAGAAUAUUCCAAAAGGAGACUCCCUGUAUCUCAAGAUUUCAAUCUAACUUUAUCUUCAGCUAGUUCCUGAAACAGAGUCACUGAACCAGCUAAUCCUAGAUUUCUGAUUCUUCUCUCUCUGCUUAGAUUUUUGGGUCUAUUUUUUCCUACUAGGGUGUCUGGAUUUAUCCAGGUCUUUCAGGGGCUAUUGCAGACUUAUGUAGACACUGGAAUGGGUCCUGGCUUAGUUGAUUCAUAAAACUGUGUUUUUCUGGUGUCCUCCAUGCCCUCUGACUCUUAACAUUGUUCCACCUCCUCUUUUGCAGGAUUCCCUAAGCUCUGGUUGGAGACAUUUAAUAGAGGCUUCUCAUUUAGACUCUUUCUCAGUAUAAUGUCUGAGUGUAGGUCUCCUCCACAUCUCUUCCCAUCUGCUGCCAGAGGAAGCCUCUCUAAUAAUGACUAGAUAAGGCACAGAUCUAUGAGUAUACCAGAGUAUCACUGGGAAUUAUUUCAUUGUUUUAUUUGAGAUCAGUUAUGUUUGGGUUUACCCUAGAUCUCUGGGCUAUUUAGUCUCUGGUUCUUGACUACACAAACAUCUGUUCUUAGAUAUAUAAACAGUAUUGAGCAUGGAUUUCUUCUUGCUCAAACAAACAAACAAAAAUAGUAGCCCUCCAAUAUACAAAUGACAAACGGACUGAGAAUGAAAUCAGAGAAACAGUAUCUUUCAUGGUAGCCUCAAAUAAUAAAAAUAUAUUAGGGUAAUGCUAACCAAGAAAGAGGAAGACUUACAUGAUAUAAACUUCAAGUUUUUGAAGAAGAUAACAAAAAAUAGAAUAGUAUCUCAUGCUCAUGGAUCGGUAGGAUUAACAUAGUAAAAAAUUACCGUCCUACUAAAAGCAAUCCAUGGAUUUAAAGCAAUCCUUAUUAAAAUACCAAAAGAAUUUUUUAUAGAUAUUGAAAAAACAAGAAACAUAGGAUAACUAAAACAAUCCUGAGUAAUAAAAUAUUUGCUGAGAGUUUCACCUUCCCUGAUUUCAAGCUAUACUACAGAACUAUAGCAGUAAAAACCACAUAAUAUUGGCAUGGAAAACAAAUUAUAGAGUCAUUUGAGUCCAUAUACCCAUGGACUCCUGAUUCUGAUGAAGACACCAUAAAUAUAUACUGGAAAAGAACAUCUUCAAAAAUGGUGCUGCUGAAACUAUAUGUGUGCUUGUAGAAGAAUGCAAGUAGAUCCACACAUAUCACCCUGCAUCAAACUCAAAUCCAAGAGGAUCAAAGACCUCAUCAUAAACCAGAUACAUUGAAUAUGAUAAAAGUGAAAGUGGGUAAUAACCUUGAGUAUUUUGGCACAGGAAAUGGCUUUCUGAAAAAAAAUACUGAUAAUUCAUGCAUUGUGAUCGAUGAUUAAUAAAUGGGACCUCAUAAAACUGAAAAGCUUCUGUAAGUGAAAGGACAUUAUCAAAAGGACAAAACAGCAGCCUACAGAAUGUGAAAAGAUUUUUACUAACUCUGUAUCUGAUGGAUUAAUAUCCAAAAUACAAAAGGAACUCAAAUACUAGAUAUCAAAAACCAAAUAAUCUAAUUUUAAAAUGGGACACAUUUCUAAAUAAAGAAUUCUCAAUAGAGAAUCUCAAAUGGCUUGAAAAUAUGUAAAGAAAUGUUCAGCAUCCUUAGCCAUCAGACAAAUGCAAAUCAAAACUCUUUUUUGCUUUCUUGAGACUGGGUUUUUCUGUGUAACAUCCUGGAUGUACUAUAGCUCUCUUAGACCAGGAUGGCCUCAAACUCACAGAGAUGGGCCCACCUCUGCCUCCCAAGUACUGGGAAUAAGGGUGUGUACCAACACCACCUGGCUGCAAAUCAAACUCUUUGAGAUUCCAUCUUACACUUGUUAGAAUGACUAAGAUCAAUAAAACAAUUGACAACACAUGUUGGUGAGGAUGUAGAACAAGUUAAACAGUCCUUCACUGAUGGUGAGAGCAAAAUACUUCUUUAAUGACUACAGAAAUCUAUAUGAUAGUUUUUUGGAAAUUGGGUACCAAACUACCUCAAGUCCGAGCUAUAUCACUUUUCUGCAUAUACCCAAAGGAUGGUUUAUCCUUUCACAGAGACACUUGUGUAACCAUGUUCACUGUGGGCUUAUUCAUAAUAUAAAGAAAUUGACAACAGCCUUGAUUAACCUUCAAGAUAAAAAUGGAUUAAACAUGAGAUAUAUUUACACAAUGAAGUACUUCUCCGUUCUUUUUUUUUUUUUU